rnacentral:rRNA from 1 species
UACGUAGGGGGCAAGCGUUGUCCGGAAUCAUUGGGCGUAAAGAGCGCGUAGGCGGUCCGGUAAGUCCGCUCUGAAAGUCCGGGGCUCAACCCUGGAAUGCCGGUGGAAACUGUCGGGCUGGAGUCCGGAAGAGGCGAGUGGAAUUCCUGGUGUAGCGGUGAAAUGCGCAGAUAUCAGGAGGAACACCAAUGGCGAAGGCAGCUCGCUGGGACGGUACUGACGCUGAGACGCGAAAGCGUGGGGAGCAAACAGG